rnacentral:tRNA from 1 species
GCACCCGUAGUAUAACCAGUACAAGUGCCUUCCAAGCACUUAGUCUACUUCGUAGUAGCAGGUGUA